rnacentral:lncRNA from 1 species
GAACACUCUUUUCCUUCUAAAGCUUUUGUCAGGUCAUCAUUGCAAUUCCCAUUAUCUCCCAGCUCCACACUCCUUUCCUUCUUAUAAAUGAAUUUUUCUAGUCUGAAGUAAGUCAAACAUUAAAGUUGAGAGAAAAAAAAUGUUUGGAGCAAAGUUUGUGGCAGUUGUAGUUGUAACCCUUUGGUUAUCAAAGUCCAAUUUUAAUUUUGAAGCUUAUGGGGAUGCAGUAGGUGAUGUGAUCCCAACCCCAACUUCUUGUGAGAACUGUCAGGUUACUCCACCACCUUCUGGUUAUCCUUCUUAUGAAGCUCCACCACCACCAUCACAGCCACCUCCUCCAUCUUCUGGCUACUCUAUAUAUGGUGCUCCACCACCACCAUCACCACACAAGUCAGGCCAAUCUAAGUGUCCUCCUGCU